GCUUGGGUGGCUCAGUCAGUUAAGCGUCCGACUUCAGCUCAGGUCAUGAUCUCGUAGUCCGUGGGUUCGAGCCCCACGUCAGGCU
rnacentral:tRNA from 1 species